AGCAGCCGCGGUAAUUCCAGCUCCAAUAGCGUAUAUUAAAGUUGUUGCAGUUAAAAAGCUCGUAGUUGAAUUUCGGGGUUAGUAGAUUGGUCAUGCCUCUGGUAUGUACUGGUCUCACUGAUUCCUCCUUCCUGAUGAACCUUAAUGCCAUUAAUUUGGUGUUUUGGGGAAUUUGGACUGUUACUUUGAAAAAAUUAGAGUGUUUAAAGCAAGCUAACGCUUGAAUACAUUAGCAUGGAAUAAUGAAAUAGGACGUUCGAUCCUAUUUUGUUGGUUUCUAGGAUUGACGUAAUGAUUAAUAGGGAUAGUUGGGGGCAUUAGUAUUUAAUUGUCAGAGGUGAAAUUCUUGGAUUUAUUGAAGACUAACUACUGCGAAAGCAUUUGCCAAGGAUGUUUUCAUUAAUCAAGAACGAAAGUUAGGGGGUCGAAGACGAUCAGAUACCGUCGUAGUCUUAACCAUAAACUAUGCCGACUAGGGAUCGGAUGAUGUUAAUUUUUUAAUGACUCA
rnacentral:rRNA from 1 species